AGCCCUCUUGCCUUGGGGUCAGCACUUUUGUUGAAUGUGAAUAUUUAGCUUGGAGAGGAUAAGUCUAUGAGUCAUCAGAUUCCACUGGCAAGACAAAAGUCAAGACAGACUCAGCAUCAAGUAGGACUGGUAUGAGAAGACACCACCAACCCUACUUCAACCUCAUGGAGAGAGCUGGUUGUCAAACAUUCAGUAGCCCACACCUGGGUCAUGCCUAAAGUGGCUUACUUCUGGAUGAGGC